CCUCAAAAUGAUUGAUCCACUUGGCAUGUAUAAUGCCAAUGGCCAGUCAAUUACCACCUAGUUGUGCUCAAGUUCAUACUCGUCUUAAUCAAAAAGAUGUAGAGAUAUUGAUGGCUGGAGAAAUGAACCAUGUAACCCCGAUAGUCGCCGCCCAUUAAGCUUCGAGAUAAUUUGUGAGAGGCUAGAUAAAAACCAUGCUAGCUUCCUUUAAUUAUGCGAUAGACAGCCAACCCUAGCC
rnacentral:lncRNA from 1 species